rnacentral:rRNA from 1 species
UACGUAGGGUGCGAGCGUUGUCCGGAAUUAUUGGGCGUAAAGAGCUCGUAGGCGGUCUGUCGCGUCGAUCGUGAAAACUUGGGGCUUAACCCUGAGCUUGCGGUCGAUACGGGCAUGACUGGAGUUCGGCAGGGGAGACUGGAAUUCCUGGUGUAGCGGUGAAAUGCGCAGAUAUCAGGAGGAACACCAAUAGCGAAGGCAGCUCGCUGGGACGGUACUGACGCUGAGGCGCGAAAGCGUGGGGAGCGAACAGG